UAAUCACUUGUCUUUUAAAUAGAGACCUGUAUGAAUGGCAUAACGAGGGCUAAGCUGUCUCCUCACCCCAGUUAAUGAAAUUGAUCUUUCCGUGCAGAAGCGGGAAUUAACACAUAAGACGAGAAGACCCUGUGGAGCUUUAGAUGUAUAAAUGAAUUUAUUAAACUAUUAGCACCAAAUAAAAGGUGGUUAAAACAAUAACCUCAUUUUAAAUCUUUAGUUGGGGCGACCGCGGAGUAAAACAGAACCUCCGUGAGGACUGAGGUGAAAACCUUAUACCUAAGAAUGUCAUUUCUAAGUGCCAAAAUAUUUGACCCAUAGAUCCGGCAAUAGCCGAUUAACGAACCUAGUUACCCCAGGGAUAACAGCGCAAUCCUCUUUGAGAGUCCC
rnacentral:rRNA from 1 species